rnacentral:misc_RNA from 1 species
CCGGUUCCCGGAGAAGCAGGAUUUCCCUUCCCAGGUCUCUUCGUCCUUCCUCAGUCGCAGAAAGAAGCAGAGCUAUUCCGGGAUUAUCUGAAACAGAUAAGGGAGGAGACUAGUGGGAGACUCCUGAGCUGCGCUUACCGACCUAAUGGAACUCCAAAUAAAUGGUGGUUAGCGUUCGCUAAGAGAAAAUUCAUGAACACCAUUGUUCAAGAAUCUGG